GCAGUGGAGUGCAGUCUGUUGUUGGCUCACCUCCACAUCAGAAGGAAAAUGAAUUGAAGCGUCGAAGCAGUUCAUCAUCACUUGCCCAAGAUAUACAAAUUUCUCACAAGAGGCGUUGUGAGUCCGAAAAUAUACCAUCACUAGAUGAUCU
rnacentral:sRNA from 1 species